GCCGAUCAUUUCAGUACAGACUACAGAGGGACGACGGCUUGAGAUAUAGUCUCAGCACCAUCAUUGGCUGCAAGAAUUUGCUCCCUGGAAGCGGAAAUGUCAACACGGUAGCCUCAUAUUUUCCCCUCACGCGACGAAUUGAUAAAAGGACAAUAUUUUGGUUGUCCAUGCAAUCCUACAAUUGAAUGCAGUAUUUUGCUCAUCUAUGAGAAGCAACCAAAGAUCAUGCAUGUAGGUCCUCUCUCUCCCACUCUCUCCUCCUCUCUCUGCUUCUCUCUCUAAUCCAUGUACAAAUAUUUCAAGGCGUAUAGUUGCUAAUAUUUUUAUGAGCAUCUUUUAGGUUGUGUAUGCAAAUAGUAAGGUCAUGGGAAAUCUGCCAUAUGCUAUUUUCCCUCUGCGUGUUGCCUUACUUGAUUUUAGUGUUGUUUAUUCCUUUCGCCGAGGGUGCACUUUGUUUAUGGAAUAAAGCACGCGGUGAUUCAGGCAAAUUGCUUGAGGCCUUUAGGGUCUGGAGGAAUUAGAAGAAAUAAUUAACCAGUGGCUAAAUUAUCUCCCCUACCUCCAGAAAUUUAUAGGUUCCUAAGAAGCAUAUGCAUCGUGUGUUAUGAAAGUUAUUAGGUGUACAUUUGUGUUGUCUGGUCAUUUGCACUGUAUACAUUAUGCCUUUUGCAUGCUAUCCAAAAAAAUGUAUGAAGUUUUAGUCAUAUAGGUAAACUAUUUCUCUUCUUUUAAUAUACUGAAGAUAUAGUAAUGGUCUUAAAUUUAAUUGUUUUACUUGAAUCCUCGUGUGGUUCAGAUCUGGCAUCUUCCCUUUCUGAUAACAUUCCAUUUUUUUUCCAAAUGUAGUAUCUCAAACUAAGAUUACAAAGCUUCACUUUGUUUGAUGGUGUAUAGGUUCUUCAAGUCGGUGAAGAUCCUAUCAUCAUUAUAUUAGGCUUCUAACUGUUUACAAAGCUUCCAACUGUUUAAGUUCAUUGCGUGCAGCAGCUGCAGAGCUCCGAUGUCUCCAUCCCCGCCUGCACGGUGCCGCCUCUAUCCUCUGCCCCUCUUCUUGGUGCAUAGUGGCCAGCUGGUCGGACGCUUUUGAUUGCUGGCCUCCGAUUUGAGGUAAAAAUGUUUUGAGGUGUAGAUUGCAAAUGGAAGAACCACGGCGCACAUAAAAACUAAGGGCACUAUCAUGUUUUAAGUGGCUUGGGAAGGGAGUGAGACCGUGACUUGAUAGGUAAAAGGCCAGAGAAACAGCGUUGCGUCUACUCCCAGUGUAGAGAUCUUCCAUGGAGAUGCAGGGCCGAGGUUCUCCAUUUGGUGAUGUCAGUGGUGUUAGCAUUUGGCGGUGUAGAUACUUAUUAGAUUUAUGUUUUCUAUGCGCAAGAUCGAACUGCAACGAGCUUUUGUAGAUGUUAUAACUUCUGUACCUUCUAUUGCUCUCAAAAGGAAACAUAGAAUGUUAGUUAUUGUAGCAUAUUUAGCUAUUUUCUUGAUUGUGUAUAAACAUUGUUGUUCUUUUCUGAAUUUGUGUCUUUAGUUAUAAUUGUGCUCUAUUAA